ACCGGCUAACUCCGUCGCCAGCAGCCGACGGUAAGUACGGGAGGGUGCGAGACGUUAAGUACGGUAAUUACGUGGGCGUAAAGCGCAUGCAGGUGGUUUGUUAAGUCAGAUGUGAAAGACCCGGGGCUCAACCUCGGAAUUGCAUUUGAAACUGGCAGACUAGAGUACUGUAGAGGGGGGUAGGAAUUUCAGGUGUAGCGGUGAAAUGCGUAGAGAUCUGAAGGAAUACCGGUGGCGAAGGCGGCCCCCUCGGACAGAUACUGACACUCAGAUGCGAAAGCGUGGGGAGCAAACAGGAUUAGAUACCCUGGUAG
rnacentral:rRNA from 1 species